GAUGAACGCUAGCGGCAGGCUUAACACAUGCAAGUCGAGGGGCAGCGCGGGAUAGCAAUAUCCUGGCGGCGACCGGCGGAAGGGUGCGUAACGCGUGAGCGACAUGCCCGUUGCCCGGGGACAACCGGUGGAAACGCCGACUAAUCCCCGAUGGGAUACGAUGCUUCAUGGCAUUGUAUUGAAAGUUACGGCGGCGACGGGUUGGCUCGCGUCCGAUUAGCUGGUUGGCGGGGUAACGGCCCACCAAGGCUGCGAGCGGUAGGGGUUCUGAGAGGAAGGCCCCCCACAAUGGGACUGAGACACGGCCCAUACUCCUACGGGAGGCAGCAGUGAGGAAUAUUGGUCAAUGGGAGGAAGCCUGAACCAGCCAUGCCGCGUGCGGGAAGGAGGCCCUAUGGGCUGUGAACCGCUUUUGCCUGGGGGCAAUAAGGGCGUCGCGCACGUCCGAUGAGAGUACCAGGCGAAUAAGCAUCGGCUAACUCCGUG
rnacentral:rRNA from 1 species